AUUGAACGCUGGCGGCAGGCCUAACACAUGCAAGUCGAGCGAGCGGCGGACGGGUGAGUAAUGUAUGGGGACUGCCCGAUAGAGGGGGAUAACUACUGGAAACGGUAGCUAAUACCGCAUACUAUCGGAUAACCCAUAUGGGAUUAGCUAGUAGGUGAGGUAAUGGCUCACCUAGGCGACGAUCCCUAGCUGGUCUGAGAGGAUGAUCAGACAGACUGGAACUGAGACAUAGCCCAUAAACCUACGAAGGCAGCAGUGAGGAAUAUUGCACAAUGGGCGCAAGCCUGAUGCAGCCAUGCCGCGUGUAUGAAGAAGGCCCUAGGGUUGUAAAGUACUUUCAUUCGUGAGGCGUUACCGACAGGAGAAGCACCGGCUAACUCGGUGCCAGCAACCGCGAUAAUUC
rnacentral:rRNA from 1 species